GAUUUUCGUUCGGUGUAGACGUUUGUGGAAGGGCGCUUCAAGUUUACUGUGUAAAAUUGUGUUAACAAAAAGUAGAUAAGCAUAUUAACAAAUACAUUUUAUUGUUAAAAUAUUUCCUAAGCAAUGAGUGCAAGUGGCGGUGGUGGUGCUGGAGGUGGUGCGCGACCUCCACCAAGAAUUGACGGCAUGGUCUCAUUGAAGGUUGAUAAUCUCACAUAUCGGACUACUCCGGAGGACUUGCGUCGCGUUUUCGAACGCUGCGGUGAAGUUGGUGACAUUUACAUACCACGUGAUCGAUAUACACGCGAGAGUCGUGGUUUUGCCUUUGUUCGCUUCUAUGACAAACGCGAUGCUGAGGAUGCACUUGAGGCCAUGGACGGCCGCAUGCUAGACGGGAGGGAGUUACGUGUUCAAAUGGCCCGCUAUGGUCGUCCUUCUUCGCCAACUCGUCGUAAUAGUACCAGUAAUCGUCGUGGUGGUGGAACUGGGGGUGGUGGCGGAGGUGGACGUCGUCGGUCUCGUUCACCCAUGCGUCGUCGAUCGCGUAGUCCGCGUCGUCGUUCGUACUCACCACGCUCUCGCUCCCGAUCCGCUGACAGUCGUUCGCCAGGUCGCCGCAACAAGUUCUCCCCCGUCCGUGGUGACAGCCGAAAUGGCAUUGGAGCCAUUGGGGCCUCACGCAGCCGAAGUCGCUCUUAAUUGCUAUUCGAAUACUUUCCAUAAUAUCUGCCACCCGGACUACUAUGGUGGUGGAUGUUCCAGGCAACAAAACACCCAUCGACUCAGCCAACACUCAUGCUGUACCAGAACAGCAGGCAAUGGUGUGGCGGUUGUUGCAGUCAUGUUCAGGCUUAAAAAUGUAAAUAUUAUGUUGGCGAGUCGUAGGCGAGGGAAAGCGAGCGACGCGCGAGCAGCUGGUUAAAUAAAUUGGGCAUCGAAACAGCGGCAAUUGAACCGAUCAAAGCAGAUUGGAGACACCAGAGCGAGCCUUGCCUGCCGUCCCGGUCGUCGUCGCUGCUGUUGCUACUGCAGUUGUUGCUGUAAUGCUGCAUCUUUACGAGCUGCGCUCGACCUUCUUCAAAUUGUUGAUGAUGCUGCUGUUGCCGCCGCCGCCGCUGAGGUUGCUGCACGACGCCUCGUUAGUUCGCCGCGAUUUUUUUACCUGUACUGCAUAUAUUGCAGUCUGCCAACUUUCUGGUGUUUUUGCCGUUAACUACUUUUUCGUACUUAUUCCUGCCUGCAUGAGCGUUAAUUUCUGUUGGUGUUUUGCUGAGUUGCUGUUUUGGGCGUACUUUUGAAUUUAGCGAACUUUGCAGUUAAAAAAGCGUACGAAUUGACGAUAUCGAAUUACUUGCUGGAUGGAUGUCUUUAAGGACGUUGUGCCCAGAGCUCUGGUAAGCAUUCGAAGUACAAAUUGCUAAUAACAUUUCAGCUCCAUUGCAGCCAAGACAGGUCCACAUCGUUAACACGAAGCCCCAAAUGUAAGUCAGCCGUAAAAUGGAUUAGAAAUUUAAAUUCCUUUUGCAGAUUUUGGUGCUUCAAUAUACAUAGCUUAUAAUGCCAAUCCUUACAUUAAAUAAAGUGAUGAUAAAAACCGCGCAA